CUUUUUUUAAAGCAAGAAACUAGAGUGUGUCUAGUGCUAAAAGGAAGGAACCAGCCCAAGGAGGGUGAAGAAAAAGCAGAAUGCAUAAUUAUCCCCUCUCCAGGGGACAUUCUGGAGCAAAGUUCCUGAGGAGGUGGAAGGGCGAGCCACCUGGGCUGAGGAAUUACCUUUACACCUGAGGAGUCUGAUCCGCUCUCCUGUUCCAUCCCAGAAGAACAAUGAGAGAUUCCCAGGGAGACGUUCUUGCCUAGUGUGGACUCUGAGCUCUUGGAGCAGCAUCUGGGUAGGUUAAGUGCACUGGUGGGGAUACAGGGCAGCCAGGAUUUCUCAAACCCUGAGGGGCCUGGGAGUCUGCAGAG
rnacentral:lncRNA from 1 species